rnacentral:lncRNA from 1 species
CAGCAUUCAAAGUCAGCACAAGAAGGAAGUGAAGAGGUUAUGACUGAUAAUAACAGUAGCCUUGAAAAUGCCGAUGGUCCACCUGGAAAUUUAGCAGGUCCUGGCAAGAAAAGCACGAGGCUUUACGAGCUGCUUCAGUUGGAACGGUGGGAUGGAGAAGAAGUGGGACUUAAACAUUCUGUAAGUGAUAUGACCAAUCAGGUUGAAGAUGCAUCAACUUCAGGUGGAAAUGAUCCGUGUACCACAGAGAACACCGUUCUUGAUGAGAUUCCAAACUCAGGGCAAAUCCAUGGGACUAAAAAAUCACAGAUAAGCUCAAAGAUAAGAAGAAUGUAUCAAAAACAAAAGUCUUUACGGAAAAAGCUGUUCCCAUGGAGUUAUGAUUGGCACAGGGAAGAAGAAGGGACGACUUGCGUUGAAGAGAAGAUCGUAGAGUCAUCAGGACCGAUUAGGAGACGCUGGUCAGGAACCGUAGACCAUGAUGAUGUGCUAAGAGCAAUGGCAAGAGCACUAGAAAGCACUGAGGAGGCUUACAUGGAAAUGGUGGAGAAGUCCCUUGACAUAAACCCGGAGCUUGCGUUAAUGGGUUCAUGUGUUCUCGUAAUGCUAAUGAAGGAUCAAGAUGUUUACGUCAUGAAUGUUGGUGAUAGUCGAGCUAUCUUGGCUCAGGAAAGGCUCCAUGAUCGUCAUUCUAAUCCAGGGUUUGGAGUUGAGGAAGGUAUGGGGCAUAAGAGUAGGUCGAGAGAGUCGCUAGUGCGUAUGGAACUAGAUAGAAUAUCAGAAGAAUCUCCAAUACACAAUCUAACCACUCAGAUUAGUGUCUCGAACAAAAACAGAGAUGUGACUUCUUACCGGUUAAAGAUGAGAGCUGUUCAACUCUCAAGUGACCAUAGCACAAGUGUGGAAGAGGUAAACUAAGUUUAUGAUUUGCCAAAUUCAAUCAUAGCUCUCUGAUUUGUUUAUGUGUUUUCAGGAAGUUUCGAGAAUUAGAUCCGAACAUCCAGAAGAUGAGCAGUCCAUACUCAAAGACAGAGUCAAAGGCCAGCUCAAAGUCACCAGAGCUUUCGGUGCUGGUUUUCUCAAAAAGGUAAGAGAGACAAAUCCUCCUCAAAACUUUCAUAACCAAAGUACUUUCCGUCUCUGAAUAAUUAAUGUUGUUUGCAGCCGAGUUUCAACGAAGCUUUGCUUGAGAUGUUCAGAGUAGACUACAUUGGAACAGAUCCGUACAUCAGCUGCGAACCGUGUACUGUCCAUCACAGGCUCACUUCAAGCGAUCGGUUCUUGGUUUUAUGCUCUGAUGGACUGUAUGAAUACUUCAGCAACGAAGAGAUAGUUGCUCACGUGACUUGGUUCAUUGAAAACGUUCCUGAUGGUGAUCCUGCUCAAUACCUCAUUGCAGAGCUUCUCUCUCGUGCAGCCACCAAGAACGGUAACAGUUUUGAACAUCAAAUGAUCAUCGGUUUUGGUUGACCUUGUGAAAAUGAAACCAGCGUUUCCAUGUGAUGUGUGUAUAUUGCAGGGAUGGAGUUUCAUGAUCUGUUGGAUAUACCUCAAGGAGAUAGAAGGAAGUACCAUGAUGAUGUCUCUGUGAUGGUUGUGUCUCUUGAAGGAAGGAUUUGGCGAUCGUCUGGACAAUAUUAUCCUGAGAGAAAACCAAAAUUCAAUAGAUGAAUUUAACAACCAGUUGAACAAAAAAAAAAAAAGUUAAGGUGUAAUUGGGUUAUUGUUUUUAAACAAUCUUUCAAUUUCGAAAAAGUAAAAGAAGGAAAGGUCUAAGUCUAUUUAUAUUGCUUCCAUAACCUCAUCUUUGUUUUCAAUAGAAGGUUAGAUAAAAUUGGUUAAAUGUAGAUGAUAAUUCGAGAAAUUGAUAGGCGGUAACUAAUUGUUUUAUAAAGAAUUAUUGACUAAGCGGAUUAUUUGGGGUUUAGGUGUUAACUGAUAUUGAUAUAUAUUUACAUAUAUGUUAAAUAUUUUAUUUUUUUGCUCAGUUAUAAAUUUGUUUUGAUGAACUAUAAAAACUAGUAUAGAAAAAAUAUUUACACAAAUUUAUGGAUUUGUACUAAUAUUAUUAGUUAAUUAAAUAAAUUUAGAUCAGUUUUUAACUCUUUAUACUAACGGAUUAAACUGAUUUUAAUUGUAUAAAUCGGAUAUUUUAAAAAUUGUACAAAUCUCUUUCUAUUGCUUCUGCAUCCAUGAUCUUGUUCUCAACACAACAACUAACAUCAUAAAGGUUUAAGGUUUCUUAUUUAUUAUCAUUGGAGUCUCUGAGAGAGAAAGAGGGUUUCUAUCCAUAUCACUUUUGGAGUCUCUGAGCGAGAAAGAGGUUUUGUCACUCAACUUCGUCUCUUGGUCGGUUAUAGAGUCAGGCGCGUAUGAGUCGUUGUGAGCCGUUAAUUCACGGAUAUUUCGUCUUUAUAUUUAUUAUUUCAUAAUAUGUAAGAACAUAUAAUACAUAAAAUAAUUUAUAUAUAUAAUGUUUAUUCCGCGCAAGGCGCGGAUCUUAAUCUAGUAAUAAUAGUAUAGUUUAAACAAAACUUUUGUGAUGAACACAUGGACUUCCUAUAUAAUAGCCAACCGAGUCUUCAAAAUAUUCAUAUAGAACAAACACCACAUUCCUAAUUCCAUAAAAAAAAAAAAAAACUUAAGAACAUUACAAAAAAAGAACGAAAUAAUUUUCUUUAAAAAUAAGAAUAAAAAUCGGUGUGAAUAAAAAAGGGACCCCACAGAGAAACUUCAACCCAUGCAAAGGGUCCAUGGACGAGAGAACAAUAAUGACGUGAAUCACCUGUAAUUGUAUACCUCCAAUCAUUUGCAAACCCCAUAAAUAUAAAUCCUAAAAGCUUUCAUUUCAUUUUUGUAAAAAAACGCGAAUAAUAUAAAAAAGAAAAAUAAAAACCCUUAAAAGACGGUCUUCACUUUUUGCAUAUUUCAACGCAAUUGCUAGAAAUUUUUACUCUGUUUUCCUUUUUCUAUUUGUUUAUUUUUUUUUCUCAUUGUUAUUUUUUUUUUCUUACCCUCCCAAACCAUUUGAAAACCCCGAGAAAUAGAGAAACACACACCUCUUUUUUCUCCUCUGCUUCACCGAUGAGCUAAUUAGAAAUUAACAAAAGCUGAAAUCAUCAUUUUUAGCAGUUUCAAAAUCAGUUUCAAAAAUCAAAACCAAACCCAUUUCAGUUUCAAGCUUCUUGGUCCUCUUCAGCUCCUUUGGAUUCUCGUUUCUUGUCGAUUCUGAAUCUCGGUUUCUCCGUACAUCUCAAAGGAAGGGGAAAAAAAACUUUAAAACUACGGUUCUGGGUUUUAGCCUUUUUUCCCCUGAAAAGGUUGGAUCUUUAACAGCUGGUCGUAUCUGCAUGGUUCAAUCUCAAUCUGGGUCUUCCUUCCUUCUUCCCUUUUUUUUAAUUUAAUCAUUUUAAAAAUGGGUACUUUUUGUCAGAUUCUCUUACAAAUCUAAAGCUCUUGUUUUUAGUCCUUCCGAUGUGUUCUAUACACUCUCUCCUUUAGAUCUGUUUCUUGAUCCAUCUCCUUACUCAAAGCUACUGAAACAGUCUUCUUAAAGGUCAGAUCACUGUAAAGUCUCUCUCUUUUAACCUCUUUAAGCUUCAAUUUCAAGAGCUCUGAACCAAAGAUAACAUUUAGCUUAAUUUGUGUUUCAAAUGUGCAGAGAUUGAGCCUCUGAUGAUGCAAACGGCGUCGUAUCUUUGCAGGGUUGUGUUUGUUAUGUGUUGUGUUGGUGGAAAUUGCUGAAACUCUUUCUUGUCAAUGGGAUUGUGCCUUGAAGGUGUUCGUAGAAUUGCCUGAGUGAAUAAUGGGAAACGGAACUUCCCGCGUUGUCGGCUGUUUCGUGCCGUCUAACGACAAAAACGGCGUUGAUUCGGAGUUUCUUGAGCCUCUAGACGAAGGUUUAGGGCAUUCCUUUUGCUACGUUAGGCCGAGCAUCUUCGAGUCUCCGGACAUCACUCCUUCUAACUCGGAGAGGUUCACUAUUGACUCAAGCACGCUUGACUCUGAGACUCUCAGUGGAUCAUUCCGAAACGAGGUCGUGCUUGAUGAUCCUUCGUUCUUGAACAGACACAACAGUAAAGGUUUGGGGGAGACGACAUUUAAGGCGAUCUCAGGUGCUUCGGUUAGUGCCAAUGUGUCUACAGCUAGGACUGGGAAUCAAACGGCGUUGUGUUCAAGUGACGUGUUGGAGCCUGCUGCUACAUUUGAGAGCACGUCUUCUUUUGCUUCAAUUCCUUUGCAACCACUCCCUCGUGGUGGUUCCGGACCGUUGAACGGGUUCAUGUCAGGGCCUUUAGAGAGAGGUUUUGCGUCUGGUCCUUUGGAUAGAAACAAUGGUUUCAUGUCAGGGCCUAUAGAGAAAGGAGUCAUGUCUGGUCCUCUUGAUGUAUCUGAUAAAUCUAAUUUCUCGGCUCCGCUUUCUUUUAGACGUAGAAAGCCUCGGUUUCAGCGGUUUAUGAGGAGUGUAAGCGGACCAAUGAGAAGUACAUUAGCAAGAACAUUCUCCAGAAGGUCUGGAGGUGGUUUAAGCUGGAUGCAACGCUUCUUCUUGCAUCCAGAGAGUAGAGUGUCUUGGCCUGGGGGGAAAGAAGGUAAAUUACAUGGUGAAGACCACCCGGAGAGUUGUCUAGAGAGCAACCGUCACUUGCAGUGGGCUCAUGGGAGAGCUGGAGAAGACAGGGUUCAUGUUGUGCUUUCGGAGGAGCAAGGAUGGCUUUUCAUAGGGAUAUAUGAUGGGUUUAGUGGACCGGAUGCUCCGGACUUCGUGAUGAGUCAUCUGUACAAAGCUAUAGACAAGGAACUGGAAGGUCUUCUCUGGGUUUAUGACGAGCCAUCUGAAGAUAAUCCAUUGCAGCCAGACCAGGAACCUCAUUCUACUACACAGGGUAACUUGUUAGUUCCUGAAACUAUCAGUGAGCAGCAUUCAAAGUCAGCACAAGAAGGAAGUGAAGAGGUUAUGACUGAUAAUAACAGUAGCCUUGAAAAUGCCGAUGGUCCACCUGGAAAUUUAGCAGGUCCUGGCAAGAAAAGCACGAGGCUUUACGAGCUGCUUCAGUUGGAACGGUGGGAUGGAGAAGAAGUGGGACUUAAACAUUCUGUAAGUGAUAUGACCAAUCAG